rnacentral:rRNA from 1 species
AUUGAACGCUGGCGGCAUGCCUUACACAUGCAAGUCGAACGGCAGCACGGGUGCUUGCACCUGGUGGCGAGUGGCGAACGGGUGAGUAAUACAUCGGAACAUGUCCUGUAGUGGGGGAUAGCCCGGCGAAAGCCGGAUUAAUACCGCAUACGAUCUACGGAUGAAAGCGGGGGACCUUCGGGCCUCGCGCUAUAGGGUUGGCCGAUGGCUGAUUAGCUAGUUGGUGGGGUAAAGGCCUACCAAGGCGACGAUCAGUAGAUGGUCUGAGAGGACGACCAGCGACACUGGGACUGAGACACGGCCCAGACUCCUACACGAGGGAGCAGAGGGGAAUAUUUGACAAUGGGCGAAAGCCUGAUCCAGCAAUGUCGCGUGUGUGAAGAAGGCCUUCGGGUUGUAAAGCACUUUUGUCCGGAAAGAAAUCCUUGGCUCUAAUACAGUCGGGGGAUGACGGUACCGGAAGAAUAAGCACCGGCUAACUACGUG